UACGUAGGGGGCAAGCGUUGUCCGGAAUCAUUGGGCGUAAAGCGCGUGUAGGCGGCCCGAUAAGUCCGCUGUGAAAGUCCAGGGCUCAACCCUGGGAUGCCGGUGGAUACUGUCGGGCUCGAGUCCGGAAGAGGAGUGUGGAAUUCCGUGGUGUAGCGGUGAAAUGCGCAGAUAUCAGGAGGAACACCGGUGGCGAAGGCGGGUCUCUGGGCCGAUACUGACGCUGAGGAGCGAAAGCGUGGGGAGCGAACAGG
rnacentral:rRNA from 1 species